AUGAACGCUGGCGGCGUGCCUAAUACAUGCAAGUCGAGCGAACAGACGAGGAGCUUGCUCCUCUGACGUUAGCGGCGGACGGGUGAGUAACACGUGGAUAACCUACCUAUAAGACUGGGAUAACUUCGGGAAACCGGAGCUAAUACCGGAUAAUAUAUUGAACCGCAUGGUUCAAUAGUGAAAGACGGUUUUGCUGUCACUUAUAGAUGGAUCCGCGCCGCAUUAGCUAGUUGGUAAGGUAACGGCUUACCAAGGCAACGAUGCGUAGCCGACCUGAGAGGGUGAUCGGCCACACUGGAACUGAGACACGGUCCAGACUCCUACGGGAGGCAGCAGUAGGGAAUCUUCCGCAAUGGGCGAAAGCCUGACGGAGCAACGCCGCGUGAGUGAUGAGGGUCUUCGGAUCGUAAAACUCUGUUAUUAGGGAAGAACAAAUGUGUAAGUAACUAUGCACGUCUUGACGGUACCUAAUCAGAAAGCCACGGCUAACUACGUG
rnacentral:rRNA from 1 species